AGUUGGCUUUUUAAUUGGCGAGAGGUCAGUCUCCUCCCCCUGCACCUGGCCAUCAGCUCUCCUGGCAUCACUUGUUGGAAACACCCUCCUCUCCCCAGUGCUUGCUCUUUGCACCUGUGGGGUGUUUGUAAUUGCGGUUUCAUUUCCUUUCAUAGGCAGGGCUCUUCAGGCUACGUGUUUUUUUUACACGAGCUUUGGUAAUUUAUGUCAUACGGAUUUUUUCUCCCAUUUCAGCUAAGGUUUCAAAUUCAUUAGCAUAAAGUUAUAUUUGCUUUUCAUCCUUAAUAUCUGUAGAAAUGCGUUUAUAUACUUUUCUGUCAGUGUUCCUUUAGUGACACUCUGCAGUUUCAGGACUGGAGAGUGCCUGCGGGUCUCGAACCACUGGACCAAUUGGCCUGGGCGGUUGGGAAGCCAGACUCGAAGGAAAUGCUGGGCUAAAGCCAGCCCAUUACCUUUUUUCUUGUAGGGAUCAGCUCAGAAUGGCUGCUGCUGCCCUGCCCCUCCCACCUGAGGGCAUUUUGUGUGUCAGCCUGCAUUUCCCAUGAUCCUCCCGUUGCCUACAAUGCGCGUGAUGCGAGGCCCACAGACCGAUCUGCGGGACGGAUCAAGUGGCGCUCAACCGUGGGGCAGACCUGGCACAAGGGAUAACGACACGGGACCGUUCAUGGGGGUAAAGUGCUGGCCGGUGUGACUGUUUCGGGACUUCGUUCUUGUGAUCUGUGCAGAUGGCCACCUUAUGUCUCACCUGAAUCAUGUGGUCAACUUAACGCCAGCUGGAUUACAUCAGCACGCAUUGAGAGAAGAUGCUCCACCUGAGAAGGGUUGCCAGGAUAAAUAGGUGGAGAAGAAGAGAGGUGUGGAGAGGGAUGGAGGCGUUAUGGAGGCAUUGUUGGUUCUCCUACGAGUUACUGUCUGAGCUGUUGGUUCUCCUGGAGAAGUUCAUCGAGCAUUGCUUCCUGGCUCCGGAGGGGAAGACAUGUGCUGCCUGGUCUCCAGGAUGAACUACUCACGCUGCUCCCUGGCACGUACCCGACUGUGCUUGUCGUCAGAGGAGCUCGGGGCCUCCGUGUUGCCGAGGACAGCUGUGGUUCCUUUCAGGACAGCCCCACUCUUUGUUGUGAGUGUGACUUCUCAGCUCCAGUGUAGAACCCUCAUCCCACUAGCACAGCUCCUUCAUCCUUCUGGCAUAGACUUUCUGGCUUCCACCACUGACCCUUGGGUCUUCCCGGCACGAAUCCGUAAAAGAGACUGGCGUGAGUCCUUCUUGUGGGCUCUGGACUUCCAGUUGGCCUCAUGGAGGCAUUGUUCUGAGCUCUGGGUUUUUAUCUGGACUCAUUUGGGACAUUGCCAUGGGGUUUAGACUCUUGACUAAAUAAUCUAUGUCGUUGGUGUUGCGGAUGGAUUUCCUGCAUUCUCCUGUGUUAACUUCUGGUGACCAUUAUAAAAAUAUUAUAAACUCCA